rnacentral:rRNA from 1 species
CCUACGGGAGGCAGCAGUGGGGGAUAUUGCACAAUGGGGGGAACCCUGAUGCAGCGACGCCGCGUGUGUGAAGAAGCGCCUCGGCGCGUAAAGCCCUGUCAGCAGGGAAGAAAAUGACGGUACCUGAAGAAGAAGCCCCGGCUAACUACGUACAAGCAGCCGCGGGAAUACGUAGGGGGCACGCGUUAUCCGGAUUUACUGGGUGUAGAGGUGGCGCAGACGGGGUUGCAAGCACGGGGUGAAAGCCGGGGGCGCAACCCCGGGACUGCGCUUGGAACUGCGUGGCUGGAGUGCAGGAGGGGCAGGCGGAAUUCCUGGUGUAGCGGUGAAAUGCGUAGAUAUCAGGAGGAACACCGGUGGCGAAGGCGGCCUGCUGGACUGCAACUGACGUUGAGGCCCGAAAGCGUGGGGAGCAAACAGGAUUAGAUACCCCAGUAGUU